GGCAGUGGCGGCUCAGUGGUUAAGACGUUGGUCUACUGCUCAGAAAGUCGUGAGUUCAAACCCCAACACUGCCA